rnacentral:tRNA from 1 species
GUUCUCAUAGUUGAAAACAACAGUGGCUCUUCGAGUUGCAGGUCCUAGUUAAAACCUGGGUGAGAACA